rnacentral:tRNA from 1 species
AAAAAGAUAAUAUAAUGUUAUAUGGUUGGCUUGAAACUAAUUAAUAUAGGUUAAAUUCCUAUUCUUUUUG